GUCCCAGUAGUAUAACUAUUACAGUGGUCUUGUAAACCACCAAUGGAAAAAACUUUUCCCUAGGACA